UCCACCACGCUCUUCCGUGGCAUCGUUUCGACUAACAGCUAGCAAAUGACUGUUAAUCAUUGGGUCCCUGGUUCGAGUCCAGGUCGUGGAGCCA
rnacentral:tRNA from 1 species